rnacentral:rRNA from 1 species
UACGUAGGGGGCAAGCGUUGUCCGGAAUCAUUGGGCGUAAAGCGCGCGUAGGCGGCCCUGUAAGUCCGUUGUGAAAGUCAAAGGCUCAACCUUUGAAAGCCGAUGGAUACUGCAGGGCUAGAGUCCGGAAGAGGCGAGUGGAAUUCCUGGUGUAGCGGUGGAAUGCGCAGAUAUCAGGAGGAACACCAAUAGCGAAGGCAGCUCGCUGGGACGGUACUGACGCUGAGACGCGAAAGCGUGGGGAGCAAACAGG